rnacentral:sRNA from 1 species
AAAAUACACCCAUAUAUAUCAUGGGUUAAAAGAUGUUGUUUAGACCUCACUGAGGGGUUUCUGGCCGAGGUUUCAGUGGCGUUGCUGCUCCUCUUGGCUGAGCCGCCAUCUUUCUAAGUCACUUAUCCAAUAUCCAACCUUCCAAGGUUGCCCAUGAUAAGUCAACUAGAAUGCCAUCAAGAUCCUCACCAAUAUGGGUGAUUUCUUUUCUUUUCUUUUUUUUUUUUUUUUAAUAAGAAACACGUUCCAUAAUAUAGAUGGAGGGAUGGUGGUAAAUAAAUUGUUUUACACGGCACAGUUUAAGACAAAUAAAUUACGAUGGAUAAACCGAUUGAUGGUUGAUACAUGGUGAAUCUUAUUGCCUGAUCCCCGGCACUCAGUAAUCCGUACUAGUACUUCUCCG